AGCAGUGUGGCCUAGUGAAAAGAGCAUGGCCCUGUGAGUCACAGGACCUGGGUUCUAAUCCCAGCUCUGCGA
rnacentral:tRNA from 1 species